rnacentral:rRNA from 1 species
AGAGUUUGAUCAUGGCUCAGAAUCAACGCUGGCGGCGUGCCUAACACAUGCAAGUCGAACGAGAAAGUGGAGCAAUCCAUGAGUAAAGUGGCGACCGGGUGAGUAACACGUGACUACCUACCUUUCAGUGGGGAAUAACCUCGGGAAACCGGGGCUAAUACCGCAUAACGUCUACGGACCAAAGGAGCAAUUCGCUGAAA